rnacentral:rRNA from 1 species
UACGUAGGGGGCGAGCGUUACCCGGAUUUACUGGGCGUAAAGCGCGUGUAGGCGGCUGGCCAAGCGUGGUGUGAAAUCUUCGGGCUUAACCCGAAAACUGCAUUGCGAACUGGUCUGGCUAGAGUGUGUGAGAGGGUAGUGGAAUUCCAGGUGUAGCGGUGAAAUGCGUAGAUAUCUGGAGGAACACCGGUGGCGAAGGCGGCGUCCUGGACCAACACUGACACUGAUGAGCGAAAGCCAGGGGGGCAAACGGG